rnacentral:rRNA from 1 species
AUUCCUACGGGAGGCAGCAGUGGGGAAUUUUGGACAAUGGGGGCAACCCUGAUCCAGCCAUGCCGCGUGAGUGAAGAAGGCCUUCGGGUUGUAAAGCUCUUUCGGCCGGAACGAAAUCGCGUACGUGAAUAACGUGCGUGGAUGACGGUACUGGAAGAAGAAGCACCGGCUAACUACGUGCCAGCAGCCGCGGUAAUACGUAGGGUGCGAGCGUUAAUCGGAAUUACUGGGCGUAAAGCGUGCGCAGGCGGUUCUGCAUGUCAGAUGUGAAAUCCCCGGGCUUAACCUGGGAACUGCGUUUGAAACUACGGAGCUGGAGUACGGCAGAGGGGGGUGGAAUUCCACGUGUAGCAGUGAAAUGCGUAGAUAUGUGGAGGAACACCGACGGCGAAGGCAGCCCCCUGGGCCGAUACUGACGCUCAGGCACGAAAGCGUGGGGAGCAAACAGGAUUAGAUACCCUGGUAGUCCACGCCCUAAACUAUGUCAACUAGUUGUCGGGAAAGCAAUUUCUUGGUAACGAAGCUAACGCGUGAAGUUGACCGCCUGGGGAGUACGGUCGCAAGAUUAAAACUCAAAUGAAUUGACGG